rnacentral:rRNA from 1 species
GACGUAGGGCGCGAGCGUUGUCCGGAUUUAUUGGGCGUAAAGAGCUCGUAGGCGGCUUGUCGCGUCGUUCGUGAAGACCUGCAGCUCAACUGCAGGCUUGCGGGCGAUACGGGCAGGCUAGAGUUCGGUAGGGGAGACUGGAAUUCCUGGUGUAGCGGUGAAAUGCGCAGAUAUCAGGAGGAACACCAGUGGCGAAGGCGGCUCACUGGUCCGGUACUGACGCUGAGGUGCGAAAGCGUGGGGAGCAAACAGG